GACGAACGCUGGCGGCGUGCUUAACACAUGCAAGUCGAACGGAAAGGCCCUGCUUUUGUGGGGUGCUCGAGUGGCGAACGGGUGAGUAACACGUGAGUAACCUGCCCUUGACUUUGGGAUAACUUCAGGAAACUGGGGCUAAUACCGGAUAGGAGCUCCUGCUGCAUGGUGGGGGUUGGAAAGUUUCGGCGGUUGGGGAUGGACUCGCGGCUUAUCAGCUUGUUGGUGGGGUAGUGGCUUACCAAGGCUUUGACGGGUAGCCGGCCUGAGAGGGUGACCGGCCACAUUGGGACUGAGAUACGGCGCAGACUCCUACGGGAGGCAGCAGUGGGGAAUAUUGCACAAUGGGCGGAAGCCUGAUGCAGCAACGCCGCGUGCGGGAUGACGGACUUCGGGUUGUAAACCGCUUUCGCCUGUGACGAAGCGUGAGUGACGGUAAUGGGUAAAGAAGCACCGGCUAACUACGUG
rnacentral:rRNA from 1 species